rnacentral:lncRNA from 1 species
UAUAUACGUAUUAAUUAAGAGAAGAAAUAGUCAAUAUAGCUAGCCACUCCGCUGUCUCCUUGAUUCAAUAUUAAAUGCAUUAAUGUUGUGCUUCAAUUCAAAAUGUUCAAUUACAGCCCACACAUCCUUACUCUCCGCAUCAGUUUAUGGUGAUUUUUCAAAACCCUCAUCCAUCGAUAUGUGUUUCUUCUGGCGUCGUCCUCCUCGACACGCCUAAAAGCACCGUCCUCCUUGCGUCUUCACCUUUCUCUCGCCAUUGUCUGNNNN